rnacentral:tRNA from 1 species
GGAGGGAUGGCCGAGUGGACGAAGGCGCUGGUCUCGAAAACCAGUGUGCGAGCAAUCGCAUCGUGGGUUCGAAUCCCACUCCCUCCGCCA